rnacentral:rRNA from 1 species
UACAGAGGAGCCAAGCGUUGUCCGGAUUGACUGGGCGUAAAGCGCACGCAGGCGGACGCGCGCGUGGGGUGUGAAAUCUGGCCGCUUAACGGCCAGGCGCCAUCCCAUACGGCGCGUCUGGAGUGAUGCAGAGGUCGAUGGAAUUGCCGGUGUAGUGGUGAAAUGCGUAGAGAUCGGCAGGAACACCCACGGGGAAGCCAGUCGACUGGGCAUCUACUGACGCUGAGGUGCGAGAGAGUGGGGAGCGAACCGG